rnacentral:lncRNA from 1 species
CAUCAUGCUCAUCUUUAAAACAAGAAAAACCUGGACAAAUUGAAAAUCAAUUACUUGGCCGAUUAGAAAACCUCUACCCUGAAAUAAAGGAGAGAGAGAUAGUGAUCCAGAGAGACAGCUGGGAUCGGCUUCCCUGGAGCAGCAGCUGCUGGAGCUUAAAUUGAUUUAAAUCAAGCAUUAUGAAGCACAGUGUGACGGGAAGAACGUUCAUCUGCAGGUAAGGAGGUCUGGCGCUUCAUUACAGU